rnacentral:sRNA from 1 species
CUAGCUACCUCUGAGUUGCGCUGGGCUUGGCUGCUGCACCAUGACCCUGGAGGCGAUCCGCUACUCGCGGGGCUCCCUGCAGAUCCUAGACCAGCUGCUGCUGCCCCAGCAGAGCCGCUACGAGGCGGUGGGCUCGGUGCACCAGGCCUGGGAGGCCAUCCGCGCCAUGAAGGUGCGGGGCGCCCCGGCCAUAGCCCUGGUGGGCUGUCUCAGCCUCGCCGUGGAGCUGCAGGCGGGCGCCGGGGGACCGGGACUCGCCGCGCUCGUGGCCUUCGUGCGCGACAAGCUGAGCUUCCUCGUCACCGCCCGGCCCACCGCUGUCAACAUGGCCCGCGCCGCCCGCGACCUGGCUGAUGUUGCAGCCCGGGAGGCCGAACGGGAGGGCGCUACGGAAGAGGCGGUCCGGGAGAGAGUGAUCUGCUGCACCGAGGACAUGCUGCAGAAAGACCUCAGAGACAACCGAAGCAUUGGGGACCUAGGAGCCCGCCACCUCCUGGAGCGGGUGGCCCCCAGCGGUGGCAAGGUGACUGUGCUGACCCACUGUAACACUGGUGCUCUGGCCACCGCUGGCUAUGGUACAGCCCUAGAUGUGAAACGGAGCUAUGCGAGCAUUGGGAAGAGCAUACCAGGCAGAGGGAACUGCCACUGCGAGGGCCCCUGGGUGGGACUGUGCUCGGUAAGCCUUUCGCAAUCCACGCCCAGACUAGGAGCCUGCACCCCUAACCAAUGGACCACCCUGUCUGUUUGCCCCUCCCCGGGGCCUUCUCCUGGUGGGUGGGGCCCCCG